rnacentral:rRNA from 1 species
AGUCGAGCGGACAGAUGGGAGCUUGCUCCCUGAUGUUAGCGGCGGACGGGUGAGUAACACGUGGGUAACCUGCCUGUAAGACUGGGAUAACUCCGGGAAACCGGGGCUAAUACCGGAUGGUUGUUUGAACCGCAUGGUUCAAACAUAAAAGGUGGCUUCGGCUACCACUUACAGAUGGACCCGCGGCGCAUUAGCUAGUUGGUGAGGUAACGGCUCACCAAGGCGACGAUGCGUAGCCGACCUGAGAGGGUGAUCGGCCACACUGGGACUGAGACACGGCCCAGACUCCUACGGGAGGCAGCAGUAGGGAAUCUUCCGCAAUGGACGAAAGUCUGACGGAGCAACGCCGCGUGAGUGAUGAAGGUUUUCGGAUCGUAAAGCUCUGUUGUUAGGGAAGAACAAGUACCGUUCGAAUAGGGCGGUACCUUGACGGUACCUAACCAGAAAGCCACGGCUAACUACGUGCCAGCAGCCGCGGUAAUACGUAGGUGGCAAGCGUUGUCCGGAAUUAUUGGGCGUAAAGGGCUCGCAGGCGGUUUCUUAAGUCUGAUGUGAAAGCCCCCGGCUCAACCGGGGAGGGUCAUUGGAAACUGGGGAACUUGAGUGCAGAAGAGGAGAGUGGAA